ACGGCGCUUGUCACCCCACGCUGGAUGUCCUGUAAGGUGGUGGCUGGGAAGCCCAUCCGCAACUUGUUACACAGAACAUCCCUGAGGGCAGAAUGGCAGCGCUCAACCUAGCCUCUAGGUCAGCAGGACCAGAGGACCCACCACCCUGACCCAGCAACACCCAUUGUUCCUUUAGGGGACUACUGUAGGAGACUAUAGGAGCUAGGGUACAAGAGUGGCUAACACUCCUCAAGGAUGCUGAGAUGAUAAGAACAGAGGGGUGGGCUCCAACAAACAGCAGGUGGUACAGCUUUGUGAAAGCCACUUUCACAGUGGGAGCUGACAGACUGGGUUUUGAGUCAGUCAGUUCUGGACCUUGUAUACCACUACUUUGAGGGUAUGUGAUCUUUGUCAAGGGAUGAAUCUCCCUAAGCUCAUUUCCUCAUCUAUAAAAUAUGGCUAACAGUGCCUACCUCAUAGGGUUAUUAUUAGGACUGAAAAGGACCAAAAGAUUAGCACAGUGCCUGGUCUAUAGCAAUGGUAACCAUGCUUAUUAUUACAACUGCUGGUUUCACCUGAAUUGUCUGUUUUCUUUUCUAGGUCUGAGGGCCAAGAGUCCCUUCAGUGCAAUCCACAGCAGGCAGAGUGGACAGUGAGGAGAGAGAGACAGAGAGAGCGGGGCAACCGGGACAGAAUCCGGCACCCUGACCAGGACUAGAACUGGUGUGCCGCGCCGCAAGGCGGAGGAUUAGCCUAGUGAGCCGCGGCACCGGCCAUUGAACACUUUUGUACAAAAGACGUUUUACUCCUUUUCUAGUGUUAAGUAUAGGUUGAACAUCUCUAAUCUGGAAAUCUGACAUGCUCUAAAAUCCAAAACUUCAAGCACUGACAAAGAUGUCAAGGUGAAAAAAUCCAUCCCUGACCUCAUGUGACAGCACUCUGCUAUGGCCUGGGAAAGCAGAAGAUGGCCCAAGUCCUUGGGCCCCUGAACCCCAUGGAAGACCCAGAAGAAGCUCCUGGUUCCUGGCUUCGGAUAGGCACAGCUCCGGCUGCUGCGGUCAACUGGGAAGUGAACCAUCGGUUGGAAGACCUCUCUCUCUGCCUCUCUUCUCUCUGUGUAACUCUGACUUUCAAAUAAAUAAAUAAAUCUUUAAA